rnacentral:rRNA from 1 species
AACGCUGGCGGCGUGCUUAACACAUGCAAGUCGAACGGAAGUAGAAAUACUUAGUGGCGGACGGGUGAGUAACGCGUGAGCAACCUGCCCUCAUCAGGGGGAUAACACAGAGAAAUUUGUGCUAAUACCGCAUAACGUUGCGAAUAGGCAUCUAAUUGCAACCAAAGAUUUAUCGGAUAAGGAUGGGCUCGCGUCCCAUUAGGUAGUUGGUGAGGUAACGGCCCACCAAGCCGACGAUGGGUAGCCGAUCUGAGAGGAUGAACGGCCACAUUGGAACUGAGAGACGGUCCAGACUCCUACGGGAGGCAGCAGUGGGGAAUAUUGGGCAAUGGGCGCAAGCCCUGACCCAGCAACGCCGCGUGAAUGAAGAAGGUUUUCGGAUUGUAAAGUUCUGUGAUGGGGGACGAAGAAAGUGACGGUACCCCAAUAGCAAGCUACGGCUAACUACGUGCCAGCCGCGGC